rnacentral:rRNA from 1 species
UACGUAGGGUGCGAGCGUUAAUCGGAAUUACUGGGCGUAAAGCGUGCGCAGGCGGUUUUGUAAGCCAGAUGUGAAAUCCCCGGGCUCAACCUGGGAAUGGCAUUUGGGACUGCAAGGCUCGAGUUUGGCAGAGGAGACUGGAAUUCCUGGUGUAGCAGUGAAAUGCGUAGAUAUCAGGAGGAAUACCGAUGGCGAAGGCAGGUCUCUGGGCUGAAACUGACGCUCAUGCACGAAAGCGUGGGGAGCAAACAGG